rnacentral:rRNA from 1 species
UCGGAGGUGAGGAGUUUAACGUUUAGGUAGUGAGAAUAUUUAAGAAGUGUUAAGAAUAUUUGUGAAUAGUAAUAAAAAAAUAAUAAAAAAAUAAUAAUAGAAUAUUGAAUAGUAAUAAAAAGUAAGUGAAAAGUAAUGAAUAGUAGAAAAAGUAGGUGAAAAGUAAUAAUAAAGUAAAGAAUAGUAGUGAGAGUGUUUGAGAGUAGUUGAGAUACUCUUGGAGAUAGAAGGCCUACGGGUCAUGAACUUCUUUUCCCGGAGAAGAAGCAAUGACAGUAUUUGGGGAAUAAGUAUCGAAUAACUCUGUGCCAGCAGCCUCAGUAAUACAGAGGAUGCAAGCGUUAUCCGGAAUGAUUGGGCGUAAAACGUCUGUAGGUGGCUUUUUAAGUCCGCCGUCAAAUCCCAGGGCUCAUCCCUAGACAGGCAGUGGAAACUACCAAACUAGAGUACGGUAGGGGCAGAGGGAAUUUCCGGUGGAGCGGUGAAAUGAGUAGAGAUCGAAAAGAACACCAACGGCGAAAUCACUCUGCUGGGCCGACACUGACACUGAGAGACGAAAGUUAGGAGAGCGAAUGGGAUUAGAUACCCCAGUAGUCCUAGCCUCGAUGGAGACUAGGCAUUGUACGUAUCGACCCGUGUAGUGUUGUAGCUAACGCGUUAAGUAUCCUACCUGGGGAGUACGUUCGCAAGAAUGAAACUCAAAGGAAUUGACAGGGGCCCGCACAAGCUGUGGAGCAUGUGGUUUAAUUCGAUGCAAAGCGAAGAACCUUACCGAGGCUUGAUAUGCCGCGAAUCCUCUUGAAAGAAAGGGGUGCCUUCGAGAACGCGGACACAGGUGGUGCAUGCCUGUCGUCAGCUCGUGUAGUAAGAUGUUGGGUUAAGUCCCUCAAUAAGCGCAACCCUCGUGUUUAGUUUCCACCGUUGAGUCUGGAACCCUAAGCAGACUGCUGGUGAUAAGCCGAAGGAAGAUGAAGAUGACAUCAAGUCAUCAUGCCCCUUAUGCUCUGAGUCCCGUUUGGAAUUUAAACUGAAUUAAGAUCAGUCUAAUUUUAAACCAAGUUUGACAUCUAAACAUUUAAUUCUCAAAUUACUAAACUCAUAUCAAUUCAAAACCUCUUUACACGUGAGACCCACAAUUUUUUUUAACUUAACAUCUCUUUACAUGUGAGACCCAUAAUUUUUUUCAACUUAACACCUAUUUACACGCAGAUCCAUAAUUUUUUUAACUUCCUAUAAAUACAUAUAAACUCAUCUUAAUAUCUAAAU